CUCCAAGCUACAGCACUGUGACAGGUGAAAGGACUGCUAAAGCCUUAGGCAUUUCCUACAUUUCAAAUUAUACAUAAACAUAGGACAUGUUUCUCGCAGGCCCCAGAAAGGAUCACCAACAGGGUUUAGAAGGUCUCAUCAUUCACCUAAGUCCAUUGUUAAGGGUCUACAUGCACAUUCCCUGAAGUAACCCACGAUUGUGAAAGAGAUGUCAAUGACCACCGUCAGCCUUCAGAAUGACUGUCAUUAAAUUAUCUCAACUGUUUUGCUAAACAACAACAUCUUAUGUAAGCCUGACAUCAACAACCACCUCUACAACCAGCUGUUCCUGUGCCUUAGUUGGAAAAGCAUUGUGUUAGCAGAGCAAACGUUGAGGGGUUUAUCUCAGGGAUGGACAUACUGAAUAAAUGUAUCCAAAAUUUUCAAAGAGUACAGUUUACCCUGUCUUGGAUUAAAUAGCUAAAAUCUAUUACUGUAAGCACAGCAAAACUGCAAAGAUCUUAUUAGCCCAUUGACGUAAGAGUUGAUAGUCCUGGCUGUUACCCUACCAGUUUGGGUUUUAUUUUAAAGUAAUGUAUAAAAGUUGUGGGAUGAGAACAGGCUUGAGGUGCAGACAUACACUAGGUCUAACGUGUCAUUCCCACUGAGCCGUUAAAACACAACCAUCUGCUACACAAGAAUGGCACAGUAAGUUCUGAUGAAGGUUCACUUCGUAAACAUCAAUGAGCAUUAAUAAGCACCUACCGCAAGGGCUAACAUUAACACAUAUGUCAUUUUCCUGGCUUUUAAGCGGCAGAGAGGUGUGAAUGUAGGCCCAAACCACAGGCCUGAACCACUGAUGUGCCUUUAAGGUAUCAUUUAAGGCAGAGGCUAAUACUACACUCUUAGAAAUAAAGAUUUCUGAAAGGUUCUUAAUUGUGCUGCAUGGUUGCAUUAAGAACUUUAAACAUUCACAGAAAAUUUACAAGAAAUGUUUUUUGGUUAACAAAAAAUGUUUCUUCUUUAUAGCGCCUUCAAAGCAAAAGCGGCCUCUGUCUAGUUGUCUGACACGGCAGACUCCGUCUGCGGCAAGACGUUUUUGCUCAAGGCGCAGCUGUCAUUAAAGUGGACACACAGAAGCGUACAGUCAAUAAGCGAAGCCUCAAAUGUGGUGUCAGUGGCGCUAGCUUAAGCAUCAGUGCUUUAGCAAUGAAGGGGCUUUGAAGGCCCUGAGGACAGAGAAACCGUCUAUUACACAAGAGAUUUAUUCUAAAUUACUGCUCUGUAUGAAAGAGGCAGUGAACCAGAGGAAGAAAAAAGGAGAAACAAAACAAAAGCCAUCAUCCUCAGUUCCUUUACAUUGAAGCUGCAGCUAUAAAUAGCUUUUAAGGACAAGACUGCUUGCAAAAAUCACCAUCAUGUUGUCAGUGCAUUGCAAUAAUUUGUUAUGAGCAGUUGCUUGACCAUUGCUAGGUGGACGCUAAGGUCUUUUAGUAGUUGCUUACUAGAGCCCAAGUUUUAAUUAAAUAUUUUGUUAGACAGGUAUACUGUAGUUUGGGUCGCUUAUUAAAUGUAAGCUUGUGUUUUUGUGUGUAUUUUUA